rnacentral:rRNA from 1 species
AUUGAACGCUGGCGGCAUGCUUUACACAUGCAAGUCGAACGGCAGCGCGGGCUUCGGCCUGGCGGCGAGUGGCGAACGGGCGAGUAAUGCACCGGAACGUGCCCAGUCGUGGGGGAUAGCCCGGCGAAAGCCGGAUUAAUACCGCAUACGACCUGAGGGUGAAAGCGGGGGACCGAAAGUCCUCGCGCGAUUGGAGCGGCCCAUGUCGGAUUAGCUAGUUGGUGGGGUAAAGGCUUACCAAGGCGACGAUCCGUAGCUGGUCUGAGAGGACGACCGGCCACACUGGGACUGAGACACGGUCCAGACUCCUACGGGAGGCAGCAGUAGGGAAUUUUGGGCAAUGGGGGCAACCCUGACCCAGCCAUGCCGCGUGCGGGAAGAAGGCCUUCGGAUUGUAAACCGCUUUUGUUAGGGAAGAAAAACUCUGGGCGAAUACACCGGGGGGAUGACGGUACCGGAAGAGAAAGCACCGGCUAACUACGUG